rfam:Loxodonta africana unplaced genomic scaffold scaffold_7, whole genome shotgun sequence.
GCAGUAGUGGUUCAGUGGUAGAAUUCUGAUCUUCUAAGUGGGAGACCCAGGUUCGAUUCCUGGCCAAUGUA